rnacentral:rRNA from 1 species
CCUACGGGAGGCAGCAGUGAGGAAUAUUGGUCAAUGGACGAGAGUCUGAACCAGCCAAGUAGCGUGAAGGAUGACUGCCCUAUGGGUUGUAAACUUCUUUUAUACAGGAAUAAAACGAGGCACGUGUGCCUUUUUGCAUGUACUUUAUGAAUAAGGAUCGGCUAACUCCGUGCCAGCAGCCGCGGUAAUACGGAGGAUCCGAGCGUUAUCCGGAUUUAUUGGGUUUAAAGGGAGCGUAGAUGGGUUGUUAAGUCAGAUGUGAAAGUUUGCGGCUCAACCGUGAAAUUGCAAUUGAUACUGGCAGUCUAGAGAACAGUUGAGGUAGGCGGAAUGCGUGGUGUAGCGGUGAAAUGCUUAGAUAUCACGAAGAACCCCGAUUGCGAAGGCAGCUUACUAAGCUGUGACUGACAUUGAUGCACGAAAGUGUGGGUAGCAAACAGGAUUAGAUACCCUAGUAGUC